rnacentral:lncRNA from 1 species
CAAUUUUUGCCUUCUUCCCCAGUUCCUUGCUCCUCUGGGGAAAUGUGGAAAGAGUCUACUUUUGCCUCUGAUCUGGAACGGGGGGCGGACAGGGGAGGCCUCAGACUCCGCUGGGUCUGAGACACAUUUUCAGUAUUCUCCUGUGAAAGGAACUCUUUUUGUUUCUAGAAGGGCCAUGGCGGAAGAGGAAGCCUGGCAGGUGGAGAUGAGGCGGAGGCCCUGGGUAAAGAGGGAAGCAGAGACACAGCCCGGGACCACCUGGCACAGUUACGCAGGCUGUGCACUGCACAAGUCUAGAGCAUUCCAACAACUCAGACUAUAGCAGCCGAACCUCCCAGAGAAAGCAGACCCAGUUCUUUGGCCUUUGACCCUCGCCUCCCCCUUCACCAUUCAGCAUGUAUUCAGUCACUCAGUUGUGUCUGAUUCUUUGAGACCCCACGGACUGUAGCCCACCAGGCUUCCCGUGUCCUUGGGAUUUCCCAGGCAAAAACAUUGGAGUGGGUUGCCAUUUCCUUCUCCAGGGUAUCUUUCCGACCCAGGGACCGAGCCUGCAUCUCUUGCAGAUUCUUUACCACUAGCACCACCGGGGAUUUCACCAUUCGGAGACCUGGAUGAAUGAAUCCCUAAUCACAGUCACUGGGUCCUGCUGCCUCUGGGUGGGAGGUUAGAGGCAAGCUUCCGGAGCUCAUUCUAACACACCCGGCCCCACCCUGCCUGGAUGCCAGCCAGCACCAGGGCCAACAACCCCCUGCGUUACUGUGCAGAGCGGGUGUGGUUUCCUGGUGACCCAGCCAGACAUCCGUCCCUGAGCUGGUGAAGCUGGAGCUGGGGCUACAGCCCCGCCUGGAUACCUUCCCCGCCCUUGCCUGUGCUGCCCCAGGACCAGGCAGCAGACCUGGCAAAUAGAAUGAUACAGGGCCCUGGGGAGAUCUGAACCGCAGGUCAACAAAGAGCAAGCACUUUUUCAGGACAAGUAUGUCCCAGGAGAAGACUCCUGAGAGUCCCUUGGACUUCAAGGAGAUCAAACCAGUCCAUCCUAAAGGAAAUCAAUCCUGAAUAUUCACUAGGAGGACUGAAGCUGAAGC